rnacentral:rRNA from 1 species
AUGACGCCGAUGUCAGGAUCAGCAUCUAUGCUUGCGACCGCGUCCGUCAUGACCCGCAAUGCUCACCUGGGACACUUGAGCCGGCGGUCGCAAGGAAAAAAAGCAUCGGCGCCCUUGUCUGCCCCAGGUGCGAGCUUGUUCGUCGCCAUGAGCAGCUGCGAGUCUGCGACCUCGUCGGCUACCGCCAGCACCCAGGACAAGGAGCAGACAGAUUUUUCUUUACAACCUGCCUUCUUCUGCAUGGAAUUUGUGUUCACUUUAUGGCUGGUCGUUGGGGUGCUGGAUGAUGCGCAGGCGCAGGUGAACGAUGCCUUCUAUGAUCCAACAAUAUAUCAAAGAUUUUUGCAAGAUAGUUAG